UGCUUUUUUCGUCGGGGAGAGUCUAGGGGGCAUUGCUCAAAGGAGACACUUUCCCCAAAAAGAAGAAGCGGCCAAUUAGUGUCGAUUUAGGGAUCCCAUUGCCCGCCCUCCUCCUGCCGGGAAAUGGAAGGAGGUGUUGCGCAGGAAGAGCCGCUGGUGAGCUGCCCGGUUUGCCUGGUGGAACUCUCAGCUGCGCGCAUCAACUCACACCUGGACACCUGUUUGCAACAGCAGGGCGAAGGGAAAGACUUUCCCGCCAAAGAGGUUGGAGGCAGGAGCAACAGCGGCCCAAAGCCCACAGCAGGGAUGGCGCUGCCUCCACUGGUUCAGCAGCCCUGCCCUAAGAAAAUGCGGCUCUCCAAAUCUCUGGAGCGGAGGAACAGAGAAGAGGAGCCGGGAAGUGACCUCGGUUCAGCCCCUGUGUUUUCCCUUUUCCACAGAGGCAGAAACUCUGGAGGAGCCCAAGCCGGGGCGACCCGGGGCGCUGCUGCCUCCCCAGAUCGGGGAAAGGGGGAAGAGCGGCGGGUGGAGAAUCCAGGGCGAGCCGCGGAUGCCUCGGGGUCGCUGCUGAGUGGAGAGAGCCUGGCCCAAAAACUGGAAGGGAAGCCCCUGGCCGAUAAACUGCGGCCAAGCCAGCUGGGAGAUUAUGUGGGGCAGGACCAGGUGUUGGGGAAAGAAACGCUCUUGCGGUCCUUGCUGGAGGCUCACGAAAUCCCCUCGCUCAUUCUGUGGGGACCCCCGGGCUGUGGCAAGACAACCUUGGCACAUAUCAUAGCAAAUAGCAGUAAGAAGAAUGGAGCACGGUUUGUGACACUAUCAGCGACAAGUGCCAAAACCAGUGAUGUCCGAGAUGUAAUUUUCCAAGCCCAAAAUGAAAAGAGACUCUGCAAGAGGAAGACUAUCCUAUUUAUAGAUGAGAUACAUCGUUUCAAUAAGUCCCAACAGGACACUUUUCUUCCUCACGUUGAGUGUGGAAUCAUAACCCUGAUUGGGGCAACCACAGAAAAUCCUUCCUUCCAGGUCAAUUCAGCUCUUCUGAGUCGCUGCCGUGUUAUUGUUCUUGAGAAGCUCUCGGUUGAAGCAAUGGAAGCUAUUCUGAUGCGAGCUAUCAAGUCCUUAGGGAUCCAGAUUCUGAGCCAAGAUGAGAAACCCACCAGCUCUAUGAAUGGCAACAACAGCAAAGGCUCUGAGUUAUGUGUAUGCAUCGAAGGAAGAGCAAUAAGCACUCUUGCCUACCUUUGUGAUGGUGAUGCAAGAACUGGGUUGAACGGGCUCCAGAUGGCUGUCCAGGCAAGGUUAACUAACCCCUCCCAUCAGAAUAAUAACCAUGAGUGUUUGGCUAAAGGAGUGGUCAUCACAGAAGAUCAUGUGAAGGAAGGCCUCCAACGAUCCCACAUUUUGUAUGAUCGAGCCGGUGAAGAGCAUUAUAACUGCAUCUCUGCGCUCCACAAAUCUAUGCGUGGCUCUGACGAAAAUGCUUCCCUUUACUGGCUUGCUCGAAUGCUUGAAGGGGGUGAGGAUCCACUGUAUGUAGCAAGAAGGUUGGUAAGAUUUGCAAGUGAGGAUAUAGGUGAGUAGCUCAAGAGGAUGCGGGUUUCUUUGGGCAUUUUCAUCCAGCUAGCUCCUGGACCCUCACAACCACUGUAGUAGUUUUGUCCCCCAUGUUGCCAACCAGCUUUACCUCCAUCAGGCCAAGAUAAAAGCACAAAUAACAGCAACCAGCUCCCUACCCCAUUCUCAUUCUUACAAGGUAGGGGAAGUGGGAAAACCUGCCUCCAGAGCAACAACAAAGGAGCAGGCGAUGGUGGCAAAAUAGUUUUUGAGACAUUUGCUCUGGAGCAGGAGCUUGGCCAGAAGUCAGUCAGCUCAGUUUUGCAAGACCCAGGAUGUUAUGGGAAGCCAGGUAAGUGAACCCCCCAGGUAUGGAAAAACCUGUGCAAAGCCAACCUUGCUGUCAGACAAAGUGAACCAAUAGCUUUAGGCUGCUGGUAGUGGAAAGCAGUGGUGGCAACCAUCAGCUGUUUCCCUCUAUUGGAAAAAGAGCUGUGUAUGCCAACAAACUAGCUGUAAAUACAGAGCUGUGUUUGUCAUAUAAUUGGUCGUCCAGUCUUCUGGUGGAUACUAGCCCUCGCUGGUGUUAAAGUCCACCUGCCAGUCCAAUUGAAUGUUCUGCAUAGGGAAGGGAAACAAUUAUGUCCUUCACCACAGACAGCAACGUAUCUUUGACCACCCCGAUGUCAUGGAUCAGACAUGAGCUUCUUGUUUUGGUAGGUUCUCACCCCCACAAUGUAUUCUCAUAAGACCAAUUUUAUACACAUUAAUUGCUUAUCCAUGUGUUAUCACCAAGUAACCUAUUGUCCUUGGUCACUGUAGGCGCACUUGUGGCUAAUUCAAAAUAAAAAUUGGGAGUCUGUUUAUUAAACAAACCUGCCCCUUACCUGAGGUUUCCAGGUGGUUCAGUCUGCAACUCCCCAUGGAUGGCAGUACUAGCUUAGAAUUUUGAGAAUUGCAAUACUAACAUAUCAGGAGAGGUUCAGGCUGUAACAGGCUACAUUAUACCUUCAGAAGCUAUCUGACUGUUUAAUGGAUACCACUGUGAAAAGGGUAUUUGAUUUAUUGAAACUGAUAUGCUUGCUCCUGCAUCAGUUAAUGAAUCUUCAAACAUACUGGACAGAGGGAUGGCUCCCAAAUUAUGUUGUGCUUGCCUAGUAUAGGGUUUUAGAUAUACCUAAAUAUUCAGACAAAUAUGGAGAUCUCCAAUAUCAAAAUCAGUUGGCUAGCUGAUAUUCCAGUGGCUAACUUGAAUGUCCCUAAGGUGACAAAAAUCAUUGCAGCCUGGGUCCCUGCAUAUUGCAGUAUAGUUUCUUCCAGAUAUAGACCAGGCAGACUCAGGUUAAAGUCUCUAUUUGACUACUCGACCAUGAAGCUCCCUAGACGACUUUGGACUAUUCUCUUUAUGCAUUCUGCCUCACAAAGUUGAGUUGGCUGGCUUCUUUCUUCAUUGUAUUUACUGCUUGAUACAUCAGCCAAAGCCUUUAUAUAGUGUUUAACUUACAUUAAAUAUCCUGGUUCCAUUAUUUUGGGAGCCUUUGGACAAGAUGUCCACUUUCACCAUUGAUCCCAAAUUGAGGGAAAGAGGUCAAAGUGAACAAACUUUAUCUGUUCUCCUGUGAUUGUUCACUUGUGACACUUGGCUUGAAAAGAAUAAAACUGGGGAUUGGCAGAUCCUUUGGCCUUACCUCAAGCUGUGGCUGCUUAUCAAGGAUGCCACUUUAUUGGAAUGCCAGAGUGUGAG